ACGACUGCUAAGACUGGAUAGGAGACAAGAAGGCAUCUUCUUGUUUUUAAAAGACCUAGCAAUAGGUAUGCUUAGGGAGGAGCUUGCGUCACAUUAGUUAGUUGGUGGGGUAAAGGCCUACCAAGACUAUGAUGUGUAGCCGGGCUGAGAGGUUGAACGGCCACAUUGGGACUGAGACACGGCCCAAACUCCUACGGGAGGCAGCAGUAGGGAAUUUUCGGCAAUGGAGGAAACUCUGACCGAGCAACGCCGCGUGAACGAUGAAGUAUUUCGGUACGUAAAGUUCUUUUAUUAGAGAAGAAUAAAUGAUGGAAAAAUCAUUCUGACGGUACCUAAUGAAUAAGCCCCGGCUAACUAUGUGCCAGCAGCCGCGGUAAUACAUAGGGGGCAAGCGUUAUCCGGAAUUAUUGGGCGUAAAGGGUGCGUAGGCGGUUAAAUAAGUUUGUGGUCUAAGUGCAAUGCUCAACAUUGUGAUGCUAUAAAAACUGUUUAGCUAGAGUAAGAUAGAGGCAAGUGGAAUUCCAUGUGUAGUGGUAAAAUGCGUAAAUAUAUGGAGGAACACCAGUAGCGAAGGCGGCUUGCUGGGUCUUUACUGACGCUGAGGCACGAAAGCGUGGGGAGCAAACAGGAUUAGAUACCCUGGUAGUCCACGCCGUAAACGAUGAGUACUAAACGUUGGGUAAAACCAGUGUUGAAGUUAACACAUUAAGUACUCCGCCUGAGUAGUACGUACGCAAGUAUGAAACUUAAAGGAAUUGACGGGACUCCGCACAAGCGGUGGAUCAUGUUGUUUAAUUCGAAGGUACCCGGAAAACCUCACCAGGUCUUGACAUGCUUCUGCAAAGCUGUAGAAACACAGUGGAGGUUAUCAGUUGCACAGGUGGUGCAUGGUUGUCGUCAGCUCGUGUCGUGAGAUGUUGGGUUAAGUCCCGCAACGAGCGCAACCCUUAUUGUUAGUUACCAGCACGUAAUGGUGGGGACUUUAGCAAGACUGCCAGUGAUAAAUUGGAGGAAGGUGGGGACGACGUCAAAUCAUCAUGCCCCUUAUGACCUGGGCUACAAACGUGAUACAAUGGCUGUUACAAAGGGUAGCUGAAGCGCAAGUUUUUGGCGAAUCUCAAAAAAACAGUCUCAGUUCGGAUUGAAGUCUGCAACUCGACUUCAUGAAGUUGGAAUCGCUAGUAAUCGCGAAUCAGCAUGUCGCGGUGAAUACGUUCACGGGGUUUGUACACACCGC
rnacentral:rRNA from 1 species